GACGAACGCUGGCGGCGUGCUUAACACAUGCAAGUCGUACGGUAAGGCCCUUUCUGUGGUACACGAUUGGCUGACGGGUGAGUAACACGUGCGUAACCUGCCCACCCCUUUCUUUUAACGCUCGUAAACUAGUUCUAAUUCUGGCUAUGUGCUCCUUCUGCCUGCUGGGGGUUGGAAAGCUCCGGCGGUUGUGGGUGGACUCGCGGGCUGUUUGCUUGUUGGUGGGGUAGUGGGCUACCAACGGGGCGACGGGUAGCCGGCCUGAGAGGGUGACCGGCCACAUUGGGAAUGAGAUACGGCCCAGAACCCUAAGGGAGGGAGCAGUGGGGAAUAUUGCACAAUGGGCGCAAGCCUGAUGCAGCAACGCCGCGUGCGGGAUGAAGGGCUUCGGGUUGGAAACCGCUUUCAGCAGGGAAGAAGCUUUUUGUGACGGUACCUGCAGAAGAAGCACCGGCUAACUACGUG
rnacentral:rRNA from 1 species